UAUUCACAGCAAUACCUUGAAAAGCUUUGUAUCAUCAAGAAUGAAUGAGAUAUCAAUGUUUUAAUUUUGAAGAUUGCUUAUUCUCAAUUGUGAUUUUGUAACUUACGCAUUUCUGCUACAGAAACAAUGGAGAACUUUAUUUUAGAACGAGAAAAUUGCUUAAUAUCUUCUUUCCACAUUUUUGAUUAGAUGAAGGUUAAAAGAAAAAAUGAACAACACAAACUUCAUCCAAGUAUCAGUUAUAAAGAAGGUCGCAGACUCAGGACAAAAAGUUGGCCGGCAGCAGGCGGUGGCUCAAGUUGAUCCGCCACAGGGGGUGGCUCAAGCUGACCUGCAGCAAGCGGCGGCUCAACGGCCUCAGAAGAAAGAAACCAGUUUGACCAGUUCCUGUACUGUUUGUGGAGAUAAGGCUACCAAGUAUAGAUACUCGAAUUACGGAACCACCAGCUGUUUCUCUUGCAGAGCUUUCUUUCGUAGAACAAUUUCUAAGGGUAAUCAAGAACUGUUUUACUGUGGAGAAGGAAACUGUGAAGUCAAUCUAAAUACAAGGAAGAAAUGUCAGUACUGCAGAUUUAAUAAAUGCAUAGCUGUUGGAAUGACAUACAAAGAACAAGAAAAGAAAGAUGUUGCUCCGCAAGGGUCUACAGAUGUGCCUUCUAGCUCCUCCAGCUCCUCUAAUUCUCUUGUGGCAGGUUCUAAACAUGAUAAUAGAUUUACAUCUACUCAUGAUUCAAUGAAGGCAGUUAAAGACGAUCUUUGGGAAUCAUCUUCUGAGGAGUUUAUCUCUUCAGCCGUUCAGAUACCUUUAUCUGGGAAAUCUUAUCCAUCGGAAUUCCAUGGUUAUACUCAAUCAAGUUGUCAAGAUCUUUUCGAGUCUACUUUAGUGCUUGAUCAGGGACAAGAUGCCUCAAGUAGGUCUGUCGAUCCUUGUAAUUCUAGACAGCUUGUUUCUUCAACAACUUACACAGUUGAGAAUCAGAUUUUUUUUGAUCGUAAAAAUCAGAAAUUUGAGGCCAUAGCUUCAGAGGAAAACUAUUCAGUUUCUCAACAUAGGUUUGGGGAACCAGAGAAAAUUGCAAGUCUUUGUACAAAUAUAUUGGACAUUGAAGCUCGUUUCAAUUCUGACGACCAGCAAAGAAUUGAUCAGCUGGUAAAUAUUGAUAAAUCAACCCAACUGACCAUAGAAGAUAUACCUAAAGAGAUACUGGAGACUCUAAUCAAGCUGAUGUUUUCAGCUGAUGGUGGGAAAUCUCUAGAUUAUGCUGUCAUUAUCUGGGGUUAUACAUUUGCUAUACAGAAGAUAACUUACUUUGCCAAAUCUUUGCCCGAGUUUGUAUCCUGCUCAAUUGAGGAUCAAAAGAACUUGCUUUACCAGAACUCUGAUCCUAUCUUUAAUAUCAAGUCAGCCAUGUUUUUUAACUCAGGUUCGGACUCGUUUACAGAUCAAAUGAAUAAGUUUUGUGUGUUUAAUUUUGAAAAGCUUUCUGACAAAUUUAACACGGUGGUGAUGCAACCAAUAGAAUGGAAUCAACUCUUCAAGUCUCCAUGGGCAACAAAUCUAGAGCAUGAACAGAAAUAUGUUAACCUGCUGAACCAUGCAGCUGAACUAAACCUUCAGCAUGACUCUGGAUGUCUUAUGCAGAUAUUUGGUGCAUAAAGAAGGCAGUAAAAGAGCUGAAGAAUUGCAUGCAAAAUUCAUGCAAAUGCUUCACUAUCUAAGAGAAAUGGCUGACAUUAUGAAACAUCAAACACUGAAAUGUUAAUUGCAAUAUUUCUUAAACAAUAAAUUUAUAAAUAUU
rnacentral:misc_RNA from 1 species